GACUGGAAAAGUGGACUAAAACAUCAGUGCUGGAAAAUUCCAACGCUGGCAUUCCAAGCGUCACUAUUUUCCAGCGCUCAAACCUUGUGCGCUGUCAUAUUCCAGCGCUUGAGUUUGUGUCUUACAACAUCGCGCAAAAGAUAUAAUUGAUCCAGCUGUCACGGGAAUAAAUUCUGGCGCUCAAAAUGCAAGCGCUAUAAGUUACCAGCGCUCCUGAUCCAAGCGCUAGAAUUUUCUAGCGCUGCACAGAUCUCUGUUGGAAAAUUCCCAUUUCAAAGAUGUAUCUUGUUCUGGCCUAAGCUUGUGUGAUUAAUGCCUGGCCUAAUCUUGUAACAAAACACUUUGUAUAGUUGCAGUUUAUCAUAUAGUAGUUUCUUUUUUUGAAGUACAUUACUGUAUUUUUCAUGAAUUUGAUGUAAUCAUACGCGUCUUAAACAUUUAGAGGCCCAAUCACCCGAAUCUAAUUUUUGACAGGCUAAACACUUCUCAUUUAUUACCUGUGUUGAGAGCCAACUUUCUGAAGGCAAGUAUGUAUACUCAGUGGAAAACUUGUUUCAAGGAGUUGGGUUUGAAUCCAAAAUCUGUUACUAGUUACAAAGGUGAAUAUAGAAAAAAGCUUCAGCUUAAAUAUGCAGCAAAGGUUUUUUUAAAGAUGGAAAAUCAUGUUUCUUUUCUCUCUAAUACUACUCAAUUUUUCUGUGGCGUCAUCUAGCAAACCUGUGAAUUUUUGCAUCCAGGAGCAAAUGAAUUGUUUCUCCACACAUAUACACACAGGAAGGGAAGAAAAUUGUCUUGUGAGGCCUCAACUGAUUUGGUUGUUGCAGGAACCAUUGCACAUUGUACUGGAGUCUAUCUCUAAAGAAGUUGGUCACACUGGUUGUAUGUGAAGUUUCACUGAAAAUUCUCCAGAUUGGCAGAGCAGAUUAUUCACCGGCACUGAAAAUUGAAGAGGAUCAAAAAUUUAUGUUCUGAGUACAUUAAGAAUACAUUGACGACCAAUUAAGUUUUAUGUACUCCCACUAAACUUCUUAUAUUUCUAUAAGAAUCAUGUACAUUUUAUGAAACUAAAAUACUUAUUAGCUUCACUAAAAUACACAUCCAAUUCCCAAUUGCUUGCUUAAAUCUGUACUUAGAUUUCAUAAGCUAGCUUUCCUUUUCAAGUAUUUAUUUGGAUCCACAAAUCCUAUGACAUACCAUGUACA